CUCUUUUUGUUUAUUUAUUUAUAUAUAAAGUAUGACCUGCCCACUGAUUUAUUUGAAGGGCCGCGGUAACCUGACCGUGCAAAGGUAGCAUAAUCAUUAGUUUCUUAAUUAGAGGCUGGAAUGAAUGGUUGGACGAAAUAUGAGCUAUCUCAUUAUUUUUAUUAGAAUUUAAUUAUUAAGUAAAAAAGCUUAAAUAUUGUUAUGGGACGAGAAGACCCUAUAGAGUUUAAUAUUAUAAUUUUUAGAUUAGUUUUGUUUCGCAAUAUUAAUUAUAAUUUUUUGUUGGGGUGACAGGAAGAUAUAAAUAACUCUUUUUUAUUGAUAAAUAUUAAUUUAUAGAAUUUUGAUCCAUUUAUAAUGAUUAUAAGACUAAAUU
rnacentral:rRNA from 1 species